rnacentral:rRNA from 1 species
CAGUCGCCACGGUAAAACGGAGGGUGCAAGCGUUAAUCGGAAUUACUGGGCGUAAAGCGUGCGUAGGCGGUUCGUUAAGUCUGUUGUGAAAGCCCCGGGCUCAACCUGGGAAUGGCAAUGGAUACUGGCGAGCUAGAGUGUGUCAGAGGAUGGUGGAAUUCCCGGUGUAGCGGUGAAAUGCGUAGAGAUCGGGAGGAACAUCAGUGGCGAAGGCGGCCAUCUGGGACAACACUGACGCUGAGGCACGAAAGCGUGGGGAGCAAACAGGAUUAGAUACCCCGGUAGUCCCUGUCUCUUAUAC